UGGGUAUUUGGCCAAUUCUAGAAUAAUUAAAAAUCAACGAGAAUAGUUGAUAUUUAUUCCGAUAGAUGGUGCAAGCCAUCAGCAACUUUCAGUUGCACGAUAAGGAGAUGCCUUUUUUCAUACUAUUGUCUAAGUUGUUUUGUUUAUAUAUUAUAGCUUACCUUGUUGUAAUAUAAUUAAAUAUUAAAACACAAAAUAUUGUGACAAUCCCUUAUUUCUAAAUAGGAAACGUUAUACAUAUAUUAUUAAUUAGCUAUAUAUUUCUGUAGACAUUAAAGUGAUGAUAGAAAAUAAAUUAGAUGAGGGAAUUUGACUCAUGAAAAUGAUGUAUGGCGAGUCCUUACAGGACGGAAAUGUCCUAAUAAAGCUGUUGUUGUUGUUGUUGACUCAUCAGUGGUGAACCCUCUCAGUGGUUUGGCUGACUGCGAAUCUGCAGAUUGCUCCAUUAUUGUAUUGUGCCUUUUUUUCUUAUAUAUAGUCUGUGAUUUUAUUAGAAAGUCUAUUAGAGGUGUUCUUUGUGAAUUUAUAGAAAUAAUCUACUUGGUCUACAGAACUGUAUGCAUAUAAUUUGAAGAAAAUUCAGUGGACACCGCUUUCCGCAAAUAUGAUUUUAUAUUAUACACUCAUAGACAAAACUUAAGGAUGUCAAACCAUUUAAUGUCUCAGGCAAUUUUGUUCACACUUGGUUAUCUCGUGUGUCUUCAAUAAAGGUCAUUGUAAUAUCUUUCAGAGUUUUGAUCUGAAUAUUCCGAUAUACACGUUAAAAGGUUCAACUUCCUUAAGUUUUGCCCAUGAGUAUAAAUCAAUUUUCAGUCAUUAUAUUCUGACCUUAAAUACCCAUUUCUUGAUUUCUCAGAAAACCUCUAGGACCAAGAGGUACAGUCUGUGCCACGCUGACGAGGGCCAACAGCCCGAAACACGUACGUGGUUGACUUUUAAUGAUUUAUCAAGAAAUUGGGCUGGCCAAAUAUCACAUCAAUAAGUUAGAUAAACGUUUAGUUCAUUUUUGUUACACUAGAUGGUGCUCUGCCAUUUAGAAACUCUCACGUGAGCACGGUCAGGAUAUGCCUUUUUUAUUUUGAAUAUAUAUAUGUAUAUUUUAAUAUAUAUGUAGUCAAACAGACAUGUGUGACUCUAAGAUGUGCUGUAGAUGAAAGAGGUAGAUGAGCUGUUCCAAGAGCUGGCCGUGGAAGCGGAGGAUUGGCUACCAGAGGAAUCCGACACUGAGGUACAGAACUAUAUAUAUACUCUUGCAGAAACACGCUUUCCGAGUAGUUAGGCUAACUGCUAAAAUUGUAGAACUAGGAAAACAAACGGCUAACUGUGAAAAAAGGGGCAUCUCCUUAUCGUGCAACUGAAAGUUGCUGAUGGCUUGCGCCAUCUAUCGGAAUAAAUAUCAACUAUUCUCAUUGAUUUUUAAUUAUUUCAGAAUUGGCCAAAUACCCAUUCUUGAUUAAUCAAGAAAAGCUAACCACGAUAACCAGUUGCUCGAUAAGGAGAUGCCCUUUUUUCAUAAUUAUGCACCUUAUCCCAGUACAAUAUCACAUUUGUACUAUUUUUUCACAAACGGCUAACUAUCAUAUUAUUUUCUCAAUAUUGUUUUCAAAAUAACGAUAAUAAAACAUGGUAGCCCACAAAUACAAUUGCUGAACAGAAUGGAAGGAACUUUUAUCACAAUGAGCAGGAACUUGUUAUUACAGAAUAUUAAAGCAUUGGAACCAUAUAUCGUCAUAAUGUAGAUAAAUGAAUGAUAAUGUUAAUUAAAUAAGACAACAGAUAUCUAGAGAUGAGUUUCUUUCCAUAUUUAUUGCAAUCUCAAGUUUUCGGUCAAUACCUACAGCCCUUCAACAGAAGUACGAAAAUGAACAAUGAUGAAACGCUGUUAUAUACUGCGUUAUGAAACGCUGUUUCAUAAUUGUUCAUUUUUGUACUCCUGUAGACAAUUGAUAAUUAAAAUAAUUUUAUGAACAUCUUGUCAAUACAUGCAAAGUGCACAGUCUGCUUCUAUCACACUCUUCUGUAGAAGGACGGUAAAUGCCCGAAAACUUGAGAUUGCAAUUCUGUAUCUAACGGCCUUUUAUCAUUGUUCAUUGUGUACUCCUGUAGAAGGACGGUAAAUGCCCGAAAACUUGAGAUUGCAAUUCUGUAUCCAACGGUCUUUUAUCAUUGUUCAUUGUGUACUCCCGUAGAAGGACGGUAAAUGCCCGAAAACUUGAGAUUGCAAUUCUGUAUCUAACGGUCUUUUAUCAUUGUUCAUUGUGUACUCCCGUAGAAAGGCGGUAAUGCCCGAAAGCUUGAGAUUGCAAUUCUGUAUCUAACGGUCUUUUAUCAUUGUUCCUUGUGUACUCCCGUAGAAAGGCGGUAAUGCCCGAAAACUUGAGAUUGCAAUUCUGUAUCUAACGGCCUUUUAUCAUUGUUCAUUGUGUACUCCCGUAGAAAGGCGGUAAUGCCCGAAAACUUGAGAUUGCAAUUCUGUAUCCAACGGCCUUUUAUCAUUGUUCAUUGUGUACUCCCGUGAAAGGCGGUAAUGCCCGAAAACUUGAGAUUGCAAUUCUGUAUCCAACGGCCUUUUAUCAUUGUUCAUUGUGUACUCCCGUAGAAAGGCGGUAAUGCCCGAAAACUUGAGAUUGCAAUUCUGUAUCUAACGGCCUUUUAUCAUUGUUCAUUGUGUACUCCCGUAGAAAGGCGGUAAUGCCCGAAAACUUGAGAUUGCAAUUCUGUAUCUAACGGCCUUUUAUCAUUGUUCAUUGUGUACUCCUGUAGAAAGGCGGUAAUGCCCGAUAACUUGAGAUUGCAAUUCUGUAUCUAACGGCCUUUUAUCAUUGUUCAUUGUGUACUCCUGUAGAAAGGCGGUAAUGCCCGAAAAUUUGAGAUUGCAAUUCUGUAUCCAACGGCCUUUUAUCAUUGUUCAUUGUGUACUCCUGUAGAAGGGCAGAGAUACCUGAAAACUUGAGAUUGCAAUAAAAAUGAAAAUAAACUCACAUCUCCAGAAACCUUUUGCAUUAUUUAAUUUAUGUACAGGCUAUUCACAUCUAUUAAAUUGAUACGAAAAUGCAUAGUACAAGUUGUCAUGUGUAAGAAACAGCUGUCACAUAUAGCGGUACUAUCACAUUAUCCAUAACCAGACUUGCAAAUACAAAGUAAUAGGUAGAGAACAUGAAUGUGAUGUUGUUUAGACCAUUACCUGCUAUAGUUGGGGAGAGGGUGGGGUGCAAUUGUUAGGGCGUGAAUACGAAUGUUCUAUUAGUGAUAAUACCAUUGUUGUAUUGAUGAUAAUACGAUUGUUGAAUUUUUUUUGGGGGAUAUUUUUUACUAUUAUUGUAUUGGGGAUGUUAAAAUUGUUUUAUUGUGGAGAUAUUACAAUUGUUGGAGUGGGGAUAUUACGAUUGCUGGAUUGGGGACAUUGUAAUUGUUGUUUUGGACGUAUUACCUUGGUUUCAUUUGGGAUAUUACGAUUGUUGUAUUUGAGAUAUUCCAAUUGUUGCAUUGGAGAUAUUAUAAUUGUUGUAUUGCGGAUAUUAUUAUUGUUGGAGUUGGGAUAUUUUAGAUUAUUGAAGUGGGGAUAUUUCGAUUGUUGGAGUAGGGAUAUUUCAAUUGUUGUAUUGGGAAUAUUGCAAUUGUUGUUUUGGACGUAUUACUUUUAUUUCAUAUGAGAUAUUAUAAUUGUUGUAUUUGAGAUAUUAUAAAAUUGUUGUAUUGAAGAUAUUCGAAGUUUUGAAUUUGUUUCCGGAUAUUAUAAUUGUUGGAUUUCGGAUAUUACAAUUGUUGUAUCGGGGAUAUUGCGGGUGUUAGACGGAGAGAGAGAGAGCAGUCGAUAGCGAAUGAUAAGUGUAUCUAAACUUAUUGAUUUUCCCAGUGUUUAUUCCUACAAGUUUUGUCCAUGAAUGUAUAUAUAUAUAUAUAAUAUACAGGGUGUACCAGGUAAAUUGGGAAUUUCAACAAUGGUAUUUUAACUGAAAUUUUUUGCAAGUAAAAAUUAAAAUAUCCGAAUGAAAUUUGACACAGUAGUAGAUAAAAGGAUAUAGUUUUUAUUUAUUCAAUGUAGUUUCCAUUUUUAGCUACAACAGUCUCGAGGCGAGUGCGGAAUGAAGCACAGGCCUUGGCGACGAUGACCUUGUCCAUUUGGGUCAUCACCGUGUGAACUGCUUUCUUGACAGACUGGAUGGUGGUAUGAGGAGCUUUGUUGACAUCUCUCUCAACAACGCCCCAUACAUAGUAGUCGAGGGGAUUGCAAUCUGGAGAAUUAGGGGGCCAAAUAUCAGGACCCCAGUGACUAGGGACGUUAAGUGUCAGCCACGAUUGUGUCUUUUUUGCCUUAUGGGCUGGAGCUGAGUCCUGUUGGAAGACAUACUUCCUUCCUGCGGCCACCAUGUCCAUCCAAGGCUUCACAACGGUCUCCAGAACAUUGAUGUAGGUGUCAGCGUUCAUCCUAAGGCCCUUCUCAAAGAAAUGGGGAGGCAUGACAUCACCUUCACUGCUGAUAACGCCAAGGACCAUUACGGAGGCAGGAAAUUUCGUGUGCAUCACGACAGGUAUCUCUGAGGGGUCUUUACAGAUCCAGCGAUCAUUCCUGGGAUUUACCUUUUGGUCCACGUCAAAGUUAUUUUCGUCAGAGAAGAACCUUAGCAUGCCAAAAGAGUCGUGUUUCAGGUUGUUGAGGAGGGCAGCAGCCUUUCCUUUUCUGUUAUUCUUCAUAUUCUCAGUCAGCAACUGACCUUUCCGAAGGGCAUAAGACUUGAGACCAAGGUUCUCAUGGAUAGUUCUGACAAUUGUCAUAGAGCCAACGUCCAUUUCCUUGGGUUUGGCCCUCAUGCUCUUCCCAGGGUUUCCAUCAAUCUUCUCCUUGACAUUUUGGACAAAUUCUUCGCCUCUUACCCUGUCCGAUCGACGCUAGUGCUUUUUCCUUGUAGCUAUCCCCUCUUUGUUAAUGUCGGCCUCAUCAAACUGCUUCUUGACACGAUAAAUAGUGGUUUUGGGCAACUUAAGAAAAUCCACUAUCUCUUUGGGGCUCCUUCCGGCGCGCAGAACAACGAUGAUGGCAGCUCGAUUUUCAAAUUCUCGGUUACUCUUCAUCAAUACACUGCGCACACAUGUACUGUUGCAUUUUACAUGAAUAUGGCUACGUAAUGAAAAAAAAAAACAAGUUUUUAAUCUCAAGUAGUUUUUGUUUUNNNNNNNNNNNNNNNNNNNNNNNNNNNNNNNNNNNNNNNNNNNNNNNNNNNNNNNNNNNNNNNNNNNNNNNNNNNNNNNNNNNNNNNNNNNNNNNNNNNNAAUGGCUUCGUUGAUUCGCUCUUCAAGCAUAUCGGGAUGGGAGGUUUCCGUCCAGUUCUGCCGAAGUCUUCAGCCCAUCAAUACAAAGCUCCUUCUAACUUCCACGGCUCAUACUAAUGUGCCAACUACUGGAGCUAACUAUAGAAUAGGAUACGUUGUGAAAGCAAUUCUUAUUACCUUCGUUAUAAAGACAAACGUCAAAAUUUAUUAUACUUAAUUCGUAUGUUUAAUAUUUAAAAUAAAUUAAGUUAUAUUAAAGAGUUUCUAAGCUUUUUGAUAUCACACACAAGCCCCCCAACCUGUAUAAAUAAACUUCAAGAUGAUAAAAGCAUUCAAUAAUUUAUAAUUUAAUUUCUACAGAUGUAAAAUUGUAGAGGUAGAGAAGCAUUUUGUAUACGCCACAAUUCUUCAAUAAAAAUAUAAAAUGAAAAUUGAUAUCACGCUAUGGAGAGAGUAAAUAGUUGAUAAUGCGACAAGAUACAUAUCACUGUAAUAGUUGAUAUAGUUGAUAAUGCGACAAGACAAGAUACAUAUCACUGUAAUAGUUGAUAUAGUUGAUAAUGCGACAAGACAAGAUACAUAUCACUGUAAUAGUUGAUAUAGUUGAUAAUGCGACAAGACAAGAUGCAUAUCACUGUAAUAGUUGAUAUAAUUGAUAAUGCGACAAGACAAGAUACAUAUCACUGUAAUAGUUGAUAUAGUUGAUAAUGCGACAAGACAAGAUACAUAUCACUGUAAUAGUUGAUAUAGUUGAUAAUGCGACAAGACAAGAUACAUAUCACUGUAAUAGUUGAUAAUGCGACAAGACAAGAUACAUAUCACUGUAAUAGUUGAUAUAGUUGAUAAUGCGACAAGACAAGAUACAUAUCACUGUAGAUAAUAUAUGUGCCUAGAGAGACAUCCUCUUUUAUUAUGCAUCAUAACGGUACAUUAUGUUAAUCACCCUGGUAAGGAAACUCAACUAGUGGGGUUGAAGAAUGAGCCACAACAUUAAUUUGGGUAAAUUGAGACAAUUAUAGACACAAUAUAUGUAAUGGCGUACAAUAUAUAUGCAUACACACCCCAUUCUUUAAUAAAAAAUAUAAAAUGAAAAUUGUGAAAACACACUAUGGAGGAAAGUAUGACCAUAUGGACAACAUAUAUAUAUCGUAAUAUUAUAUGCGGGGAAUAUUACUCUUGGGGUUGAUGAUUGUUGAGGUGGUGACGCAGUCGUGGUGGCUGAGUGCUAAGGUUUACACAACAGGGGAAAUAAACCAGGAGACACGAUUGAUUGUUGAAAUAAGGCAACUAGUCGGAGGAAAGAAAGGCUUGAGAAGGCGGAGCGGUUUUUGACUAUUGGCCUAUCUAUUCACAUGACGGUGAUUGACUUAGCUGAAAGGAUGAACGGGGGAGGUCUCUAGAGCAGGUGUUACCUCGGUGGGAGCUAGCUAACUACUCGAUGGGAUCCAAAAGAAGACUGUAGGUCCUAACUCGGUGGGAUCGAAGUGAAGACUAUAGGUGCUAUUUCGGUGGGAUCGAAAGAACAACUGACAAUUCUUGGUUCUCGAUUUAACACGAGAACUCUUCUUACCUCUCAUUGGUUGAAAUGUGUGACGUGGCGGUUCCCUAUUGGUUGACCUCUGCUGAGUUGCUCCCUAAUUGGUCUACGUUACUUCUUUUGUCUUUAGACAUGUCCCAGCUUGACCAGGAAGUAAUAGUUUGUUGAACUCAACUUUUAUUAGUUCCGCGAUAAUUAAACUGGGUAUAACUUUACUAAUGAUCGUGCUAACUUCUAAGCCUCUUUUCUAGGCCUUUCUUCUAGGUCUUUCUGUCCUCCAAUGUUACCUUGUUUUAUUGAAACAAAUCAUACAUUUUUAUACAUAUAUUGGAUUAGGUUGGCAUCUAAUUAUACAAAUUAUGACAUAUAUUAAUAUUGUCAUAACCAAAAAUGUACAUAGCGUGUAACUGUAAAUAAUACAUCGGCAGCUUGGCGAGUGUAGUGUACCUAAGCUCCGAUAGAUGGCGGGCGCGCUAGGCGGGAAGUUUGUAAACAUUAGCCGCCAUCUUGGGGGCGUAGCCGAAAGCCAGCCCUUUGGGUCUUUGACAUUACUUCCUUAAUUUAUAAUUAUUUUAUCCAUUUAACUUAGUUUAUCCCUUCUCCUUCUUUAUCUCCCAAACUAUUUAAGUUCAUCUAAUAAAUUAUUACUUACCUUCAUUACAGUGACUAGCCAACAUAUAUGAUGACGUACAAUAUAUAAAAGUAUAACAAAUCUAAAGUUUUGCGGAGGAGCCUCUUUUAUUAUACAUUUGCAAGCUUUCGAACCUUUCGGUUCUUCCACAGGCGUGGCUAGUAUGACUACACUAACAGGGUAUAAGCGCGCUUGAGCCAUUAUAUACAACAUAUAAAUUUACAUGCGGAGUGAUAUUUCAAACGUAAUAAAAUAGAAAUAGGAACUAUGACUAUAAAAAUAAAACUAUGUAAAUGAACUUAUAGAUUUUUAAAAUUUAGAUGAAAUUAUGGCAAAAACUUUUAAAUGCGAUAAAAGUUAAGUAAAAUAAUGAUAUUCACUGUAUGUAAGCCGUGUGACACUUUAAAAUUUCGUAACAUUUAAAACCAGUAAAAUUUUAAAACAUCUCAACACAGAAAAACCAAGCUGGGGUCCACUCCUCCCGACCACACACCCGAGUGUAUCACGGUGUAACUAUUGAGAUAUGAUAUGAUAUAUUUCCGGUAGAUCUAUUUUCCUAUUUAUGCUGUUUGUUUGUGUUGAUAUGAUGGAUUCCAGUACCAAUCUGUGCUGCUUAUUGUUUAUGUGCUGAUAUAGGAUUUUAGGAUGAUCUAAGUUGAAGUUAUGGCCUGUGUUUGAAAUAUGUUGGUAUAUAAGUGAUUUCGGGUCUCUAUUGUUUAUGUUUCGUUUGUGUUCGGUGAUUCUGAUAUACGCGGUUCUGCCAGUCUCCCCCACAUAGGAGGCUGGGCAAUCCUGGCAAGAAACCGCGUAUACUGCUCCGGUGGAGUGGAUGGGAUUGUUGGGUGCGUCUGCUUUGGUGAUAGGAUUCCUGAGGAGGGCAGCAAGAUUGGGAGGGCUGUUAAAAUAAACCUGAAUACCAUAUGGGCGAAGGAUUCUGGAAAUGGCAACAGAGAAGGAGGAAUAUGGAAGAUAGCAGACUGCUCUAUAAGUCGUGGAGGUCCUCGGAGCAGUGGGAUCAAACGUGUGUCUAUCUAUGAAUUUUCUUGGGUAUCCUGCAGUGGUUAGAAGGGUGGUAAUUCUGUUUUUUUUCUAUGGCUUUGAAUAUAGGCAAUGAGCAAUGCGUAUGUAUUCUUUUGGUUAAAGUCCUGACUGUGUUUACUUUAUAGGCUACCGGGCUAUUGGAGGAGAAAUGGGUGUAUAGGGGUGGGAUAUUCUUUUUGUAAUAAACUGCUGUGUGCAAUCUGUGUGGAGUGCGGAUAAUAAGGAUGUCCAGAAAUGGCAAUACUAGGUUUGUUUCUGUUUCGUAUGUGAAUUUGAUGUCUGCGUGAAAGGAAUGUAGAGUGUUAAGAAUAGGUUGGAGCUCAUUCGGUUUGAUUACACAGAAGAUGUCGUCCACAUACCUCCUCCAAUAAUGGAUGUCGGAAGAAUGCAUCUGAUUGAUCCACUGGUCCAAGGACCCCAUCACGACUUCGGCAACUAUGGAUGAAAGAGGACUGCCCAUUGGGGUGCCUCUGAUCUGCUUAUAAUGCUGGUGGUUAAACGUGAAGGUGCUAA
rnacentral:piRNA from 1 species